CAGCAACUUAGCUUCUCAAGGACAAAGCAUCUACAGUCUGGAAAACGAUAGCUUGGAGAGGAACCAAAAGAAUUGGAGAGCUGCACUG
rnacentral:lncRNA from 1 species